UUGGAAGCUUUUUUUGUUUCAUUUCAAGAGGUUUGUUUCUUUUUGUGUAUGUGUGAGUUAUGUUUAGAAGUUUGUUUGUGUUUAUAGAGAAGUUUGCUUACUUGGUAGAGAAAGAGAGAGGUUAACGAACGAAAGAGGACAGAUCGAGAGAGUGGGGGCGCCACCGCACCGCCACUGGUCGGUCGACCACCCUUGUGGUGUUUUCCAUCGAUAUUUGAUCGGAAGGGGUGGAGAGGUUUUUACCUUUGUUACUGUUAUUUUUUCAUGAAAGGAGAUGCCACUAUUUUGUUUUUUCUAAAUAUUUUUUCACAUCCUCCUGCCACAUGUCAACGCAUGUGUCGGGGGUCAAAGUUGUUUUUUUCUUUUCCAAAUAAAUCUCCAAACUAGUAACUUCCACUGCUAGUAAGUUUGUGUUCUCUUCUUUU
rnacentral:lncRNA from 1 species